UCAUCGACCUUGAAAAGAGCACAAUUUUGGGCGUUCCUCCCCGGACAUGUUUUUAAAUAAUCACCCUUAUUAUGGUUGGCGUUGUCGUAGGCGUUCAAGUGUCGUAGACGUAGUCGUAGGCGUUGUCGUAAAUAAAAAUGUUUGGUAUUAUGUACAAUUUUCGACUACGUCUUUUUUGUAAUAGAUGUAAAAAAAGCAGGGUGCUCUGGAAUAAUAAACAAUUGUAGAAUUUACGAGCUACCCGGUUAAAAGAAAUAAAUGCGUCAGUUGAAAUAGUUGAAGUAAAACGAUCAUUUGUUUAAUUAAAUAUUGAAAUAUGUUAAGUGUUGGCAAUUUUUUAUCUGAGGAUGAAGAUGAGUAUAUUCAAAAUGAUUUAAACGUGAGGCGAAAAAUAUUGCGGCAAGAGUCUAACAUAUUUUCCAUGACUGAUUCCCAGUAAGUAAAAUGUAAAAUGAGGAAGAAGCUAAAAUAAAUAUUUUUCUCUAGAUUAGUUAGUUACUUCAGGCUAAGUAAGGAUGCAUUUAAAUAUGUUUUGGGUCAAAUCACUCCAGACCUCCGUAACCGGGUUAAAUCUACAAGUGUCCCAAAUACACUAAAACUAGCCGCAACAAUUCGAAUACUGGCUGAAGGAAGUUAUCAAAAGGGCGCUGGGAACGAUUUCAAUGUCAGUUUAUCACAGUCGUCUGUCAGCAAUGUGUUCCGCGAGUGCAUAGAAGUAUUGCAUAAUAAGCUGUGUCCAAAUUGGAUCUCUUUUCCCACCACAGAAGAAGAGAAAUAUGAAAUUAAGGAACAUUUUUGAAAAAUACUGGAUUUCCUGGUGUGAUUGGAUGUAUUGAUGGAACGCACAUAAAAAUUGUUGCGCCAAGAAUGGAAGAGAGAUUCAAAUACUUGAACCGGAAAGGCUUCAACAGUCUCAACGUAACGGUGAAUUAGAUAUAUAUCAUCACACCAUCAUGGAUCCGUUCACGACUCGUUGUUUUGGAAUACAAGUGAUUUGAAACAACACAUGAAAGAAAACUUUGACAAUGGCGAAAGAAAUACAUGGAUAUUAGGUGACGCAGGAUAUCCAUUGGAAAAAUUUUUAAUUACGCCAUUUAGAUCAGCUGACGAAGGCUCACCAGAGUGUAGAUUCAACAAAAUACAUUCAAAAACAAGAAAUAUAGUUGAACGAGCAAUUGGGGUGUUGAAGAACAGAUUACGUUGUAUAUUAGGAGCGAGACAAUUGCAUUACACCCCUGAUAUAUGUGGAAAAGUAACAGCAGUUUGUGCAGCAUUACACAAUAUUUCCAUACAUUUCAAAAUUGAAAUGCCGAUAGUUAGUGCAAACCCCGUACUUCAUGACAGAU